UAACGCAUUAAGUGCCCCGCCUGGGGAGUACGGCCGCAAGGCUAAAACUCAAAGGAAUUGACGGGGGCCCGCACAAGCGGCGGAGCAUGCGGAUUAAUUCGAUGCAACGCGAAGAACCUUACCAAGGCUUGACAUGGACCGGACCGCCGCAGAAAUGUGGUUUCCCCUUUGGGGCUGGUUUACAGGUGGUGCAUGGUUGUCGUCAGCUCGUGUCGUGAGAUGUUGGGUUAAGUCCCGCAACGAGCGCAACCCUCGUUCUAUGUUGCCAGCACGUGAUGGUGGGGACUCAUAGGAGACUGCCGGGGUCAACUCGGAGGAAGGUGGGGACGACGUCAAAUCAUCAUGCCCCUUAUGUCUUGGGCUUCACGCAUGCUACAAUGGCCGGUACAAAGGGUUGCGAUACUGUGAGGUGGAGCUAAUCCCAAAAAGCCGGUCUCAGUUCGGAUUGGGGUCUGCAACUCGACCCCAUGAAGUCGGAGUCGCUAGUAAUCGCAGAUCAGCAACGCUGCGGUGAAUACGUUCCCGGGCCUUGUACACACCGCCCGUCAAGUCACGAAAGUUGGUA
rnacentral:rRNA from 1 species